GUCAAAGAUGUAGAGACCCUGAACAUGCCCAAUCCCGUCUGAUUUCAGAAGCUAAGCAGGGUUGGGCCUGGUUAGUACUUGGAUGAGAGACCACCUAGGAAGACCAGGUGCUGUUGGCA
rnacentral:rRNA from 1 species